rnacentral:rRNA from 1 species
CGGCGGACGGGUGAGUAAUGCCUAGGAAUCUGCCUGGUAGUGGGGGACAACGUUUCGAAAGGAACGCUAAUACCGCAUACGUCCUACGGGAGAAAGCAGGGGACCUUCGGGCCUUGCGCUAUCAGAUGAGCCUAGGUCGGAUUAGCUAGUUGGUGAGGUAAUGGCUCACCAAGGCGACGAUCCGUAACUGGUCUGAGAGGAUGAUCAGUCACACUGGAACUUAGACACGGUCCAGACUCCUACGGGAGGCAGCAGCG